GAGCGGCGGACGGGUGAGGAACACGUCGAUCUACUUGUCGUGGGGGGUAACGUAGGAAACUUACGCUAAUACCGCAUACGACCUACGGGUGAAGCGGCGGACCGCAAGGCGUCGCGCGAUUGGAUGAGCCGAUGUCCGAUUAGCUAUUGGCGGGGUAAAGGCCCACCAAGGCGACAUCGGUACUGGUCUGAAGGACGACCACCACACUGGAACUGAACACGGUCCAACUCCUACGGGAGGCAGCAGUGGGGAAUAUUGGACAAUGGGCGCAAGCCUGAUCCAGCCAUGCCGCGUGGGUGAAGAAGGCCUUCGGGUUGUAAAGCCCUUUUGUCCGGAAAGAAAAGCAUUCGGUUAAUACCCGGGUGUGAUGACGGUACCGGAAGAAUAAGCACCGGCUAACUUCGUGCCAGCAGCCGCGGGUAUACGAAAGGUGCAAGCGUUACUCGGAAUUACUGGGCGUAAAGCGUGCGUAGUGGGUUCGUUAAAUCUGUCGGUGAAAAUCCCCCCGGGGGCUCCAACCUGGGGAAUGGGCGAUGGGAUUACUUGGGCGGGCUAAAGUGGCGGGUAAAGGGAAGAGUGGGAAAUUCCCCGGGUUGUUUA
rnacentral:rRNA from 1 species